GCGGCGAACGAACACAUUGUCCCCCCCGGUUGGUCGUGGCGCCUCGCGGCGUCGCGGCCGGCCAACUCCCUUCGCCACGUCACGUCACGAGCUCGCUCGCGUGCGCGCGCGGCGUCGGGUUUCCACGCGAUGCCUUCACCUUGACCGAAUGACUGAGUCCCUUAACACUUAGAGAGGAGCGCCGAGUGCCGUCCCCCUUAGGGUGGUCGGCGCUGGUUCCCUCGCGAGUUGAAACAUAACCAAAAACAACUCUCAGCAACGGAUAUCUUGGCUCUUGCAACGAUGAAGAACGCAGCGAAAUGCGAUACGUAGUGUGAAUUGCAGAAUUCCGCGAAUCAUCGAGUCUUUGAACGCAAGUUGCGCCCGAGGCUUGUCCAAGGGCAUUUCCGCUAGAGCGUCACCGCGCCCCCCACCGAUCCACUCCCGCCGGGAGUCGGGUCGAGUGGAAGUGGCCAUCCCCGGUGGGCCUUCUUUUUUGAGGAAGGCCUUAGGGGUUGGCUGAAAUGGAAGGAAUCGGGCCGCCGUGGUGACACAGUCCGCGAUCGGGUGAUUUUCGGGCUCCUCCGUGAGUCCGGAAUUUUUCUAAGUGCGUGGCUGCGUCCCCCAGUCGGUCGUGGUGUUACCUCAUGCAGGUCGAGCGCGCCCCCGCGGCGCGCGUCACGCAUC
rnacentral:rRNA from 1 species